rnacentral:rRNA from 1 species
AACGUAGGAGGCGAGCGUUAUCCGGAUUUACUGGGUGUAAAGCGCGUGCAGGCGGUUCUGCAAGUGGGACGUGAAAGCGCCCGGCUCAACCGGGCGAGGCCGUUCCGAACUGCGGGACUGGAGGCAGGUAGAGGCGUGUGGAAUUCCGGGUGUAGUGGUGAAAUGCGUAGAGAUCCGGAGGAACACCAGUGGCGAAGGCGGCGCUCUGGAACGUACCUGACGCUGAGACACGAAAGCGUGGGGAGCAAAC